AUGAAUCUGGAAUGUUGUUCUUUCAUCAUGGAGGUUCCUUUUAAACACUCUGGGGUAGGGCAAACCCAGGAGGUAGAUUUCAGUUGGGGUUGGGCUUGGCUCAACAUAGAGGAGUGUGGGUUUCCCCCGCACACCUAUCUGUAUUAGGGUAGUGGUUCAUCUGUGUUAAACAUGUUUAGUUACGAUCGUCUUCCAAUGCUUGGCUCCAAGUUUGGUUUUUUUACAGAAGCAGAAGUUCCGGAAAUGCUGCUCAACGGCUGCAAAAAGGCUAAAAUCCAGGCGCUGACAGUCACAGCUCGCCGUGAUUAUAAAAGCAGAUUGAAGCUGCGGGAAGCAUUCUUGAAAUAACUCCUCUACUUUGAACACAACCUUCUCUGUGGGCAAAGAGCAAUAAGAAAACAUUCGUCAGAGUUCCAAGCAGUCGCUGACUUCACCUUCAGCUCUCAGCGGGAAUAUUCCAAAAACAGGCUUCCAGAGAAUCCAGCCAGGAGAUUAAAGCGAGCAGACUCUCAGGAGAAGGAAUUGGACGAGGUCAACAGCCAGAGAGAAGAAGAAGAGGAAGAGGAGUGAGGCUGCGUGGUGGAGGAGUUAGGGGGCAAAACCGAGGAAGAGGCCGAAGACAUAUACAGUACAUGUUCCUGAUGAGAUAAGAGCCACACUUGUAGACCAUGUUGUCAACCAUGGGCUCACAAUGGCUGAGGCUGGUAGAAGGGUGCAGCCAAAUGUUAGGAGAACAACAGUGUCCUCAAUUAUUCAGACCUUUCGUCGAGAGAACAGGUAUGUAAUCUAAAAUAUGAACUGUUCUGUGAUGUUUCAUACAAUAUUACUGUAUUUUUACAAUAUGUAAAGCUUUUUGCAAGAUUCAGUAAGUACUGUAAGUAGGCCUACAUUUUAUACAGUGACAUUUUAUCUUCCUGAAUUUUGUAUUUUGCAUUACUGUAUCUUUUCGACAUAGGACUGCAAGACAACUUCACAGGGGCGGCAGAGGGCCCCUUUUCACUGCUUACGAAACAGGAGGAGGCUAUUUGCAUCAUGGUUGUAGAAAACUAUGCGA